AAAACAUUCUUUGCUCUUAGUACGGGAGACAGAAAAGAGCCAUCUAUGAAGCCACAGAAAAAGUACCGCAAGGGAAAGCUGAAAAAGAUAUGAAAAAGCCCAGUAAAGCUUAAAAAAGCAGAGACCCCCCCUCGUACCUUUUGCAUCAUGAUUUAGCUAGUAUAAUCAAGCAAAGCGCCCUUUAGUUUGACGCCCCGAAACUGAGGGAGCUACUUCAAGACAGCCUAAAAAUAGGGCGAACCCUUCCCUGUGGCAAAAGGGUGGGACGAGCUUCAAGUAGAGGUGACAAACCUAACGAACUCAGUUAUAGCUGGUUGCCUGAGAACUGGAUAUAAGUUCAGCCUCCCGGCUCCUUACUUCCUUAAUAAAUAUACAUUAAUAGGUGCCAAAGGAACCAAGAGAGUUAUUCAAAAGAGGUACAGCUCUUUUGAAAAAAGACACAACUUUAUUUAGGAGAUUAAAGAUUAAACUUUAUUAAAGCAGCUUUUCCGAGUAGGCCUAGAAGCAGCCACCCCCUUAGAUAGCGUUAAAGCUCAAACAAACACUUCGCCUAUAAUACCAAUAAACAAAUCUAAUAUCCCUGAAUCUAUCAGGCCUCCCUAUUCUUUCACUUAUAGGAGAGACCAUGCUAAUAUGAGUAAUAAGAGAACAAAAUGUUUCUCUCCCCGCAUAAGUGUAAAACGGAACGGACACGCCACCGAAAAUUAAACGGACCCACCCCAGAGGGAAAUUGGUUAAACUUAAAAAUGCAAGAAAAUUACCCACUUUUGUAACCCGUUAAUCUCACACUAGAAUGCUCCCGGAAAGACCAAAAGGGAAGGAAGGAACUCGGCAAAUAUAUAAUACCAAGCUUCGCCUGUUUACCAAAAACAUCGCCUCUUGUCCCCCAAAAAUAAGAGGUCCUGCCUGCCCAGUGAUCAAAAGUUCAACGGCCGCGGUAUUCUGACCGUGCAAAGGUAGCGUAAUCACUUGUCCUUUAAAUGAAGACCUGUAUGAAUGGCGCGACGAAAGCUUAACUGUCUCCCCUCCCCUGUCAAUGAAAUUGAUCUCCCCGUGCAGAAGCGGGGAUAAACGCAUAAGACGAGAAGACCCUGUGGAGCUUCAAACACCAAGCCCAGCUCGCAUAAAUACCCAAACAUAAAUUAAGUGUAUAAAAUAUAUGACCCCUGAGCUAAUGUUUUCGGUUGGGGCGACCAUGGGGAAAUAAAAAACCCCCAAGAGGAUAGAAGCAUUACCCAAUAUAACACAACUUCCACAAAAAAGGCUGACAAGCCUAAUUUACAGAACCUCUGACCUAUACAGAUCCGGCCCAAGCCGAUCAACGAAUCAAGUUACCCCAGGGAUAACAGCGCAAU
rnacentral:rRNA from 1 species